GCCCAGUGAUGAGACCAAGGCAAAUAUGAGCUUACUGAGCGAGAGUUGGGUUCUUCUUUUGUCUUGAUGGGCAGGUAAUCUUGGCAGUGCAGAGGAGGAUUCCUGCUCUGCUGUAAGGGCCUGCCUACAGUGAUUUGGCUCAACCCAAAUUAUUCCUCUACAGUCACAAUGGAGUAAUUGCUGGGAAGAUGCUGACAGUGUGUGUGUUGUGUGUGUGUGGUGUGUACAUGUGUAAAAGGCAUGAAGUUCACCCAGCUCUUUGCUGUUCAGUCAGCUGUGAGUUUUGUCUUUGGUAAUCUGAGGGCA
rnacentral:snoRNA from 1 species